rnacentral:lncRNA from 1 species
ACACCAGACUAAGGACUUCACAAAAGAUCUAAAGUGCCAGUAUAGGUUUUGAGCAGUAACGGUUGUCAUGACAUUAUUCCACAGGCCCCACCUGACACUCCUAGUUGGAAUACAAACUGGAAAACCACCUUUUUGCAGGGUAAUUUGGAAGUCAAAUGUGCAUGGCCCUUGCUGCAACAAUUUUACUUCCGGGGAUACACCCCACAGAAAAGCAUAGGUAGGCAAGGACAGAGGUAACAAGAAGGUCCCAACAGCAUUGUCCAUAAUAUCAAAAACUAGAAGUCACCUGCAUGGCUAUCACUGCAGAAUUUGGAAAACACAUUCUGUGCACCCACGUAAUACUACAAAGUCCCAUUAAAAUAUGCAAUAGAUGGGCUGGACAGACAUAUCUUUAAGAUACAUAUUCAGAGAGAUACUGCAGUGAA